rnacentral:lncRNA from 1 species
GCCAACGGCAUCAUGCAUGAACGUUUGUUAAGGACACAUGCAUGGUAAUAAUUUGCCUAUAAACAAGUAAUAUCGUCUAGCAAACUUCAUUUUUGUCUAUUCUAAAUCCCUAUUCAUGUAUAUAUAUAUGUCAUAUGUAUAAUAUAUACGUUGCUAAAUAUCUGACAUGCGUGUUAUUUUGCAAAACUAUCAAUCUCUCAUCAUAUCGAAUUAACUUAACGAGGCGUCCAACAGCAUAUAUAUUUUGAAAAAAAAAAACAUUUUUUAUUUAUAAUAUCAUAUCGUAAAGUAGGUAUAGGUUUCAAUUUUUCUUAUAUAACACAAUAAUUAAGAGAAAAGAUAAAGACACACCUUUUUUUUCUCUUACAUAAAGAUGUUUAGUUAUGGGGAAAUUUGGAAAAGUAACCAUAUUUUAGACCCCAUAUAGAAUUAUAGCCAUCAUUUUAGUUUUAUGAUAAUUCUAACCAAAACUUAAUGUAAAAGUACUAAUAUACCCUUAAUGACAAAAAAUUUCCCAUUGCUCUUAACCAUGAAAAAACAACAAUUAGUUGAGAUCUUG